AGUAACACGUGGAUAACCUACCCUUAGGACCGGGAUAACUCUGGGAAACUGGGGAUAAUACUGGAUAGGCAAUUUUGCCUGUAAUGGUUUUUUGUUUAAAUGUUUUUUCGCCUAAGGAUGGGUCUGCGGCAGAUUAGGUAGUUGGUUGGGUAAUGGCUUACCAAGCCUAUAAUCUGUACGGGUUGUGAGAGCAAGAGCCCGGAGAUGGAACCUGAGACAAGGUUCCAGGCCCUACAGGGCGCAGCAGGCGCGAAACCUCCACAAUGUGAGAAAUCGCGAUGGGGGGAUCCCAAGUGCCAUUCUUAACGGAAUGGCUUUUCUUAAGUGUAAAGAGCUUUUGGAAUAAGAGCUGGGCAAGACCGGUGCCAGCCGCCGCGGUAACACCGGCAGCUCUAGUGGUAGCUGUUUUUAUUGGGCCUAAAGCGUUCGUAGCCGGUUUAAUAAGUCUCUGGUGAAAUCUUACAGCUUAACUGUGGGAAUUGCUGGAGAUACUAUUAGGCUUGAGAUCGGGAGAGGUUAGAGGUACUCCUGGGGUAGGGGUGAAAUCCUGUAAUCCUAGGAGGACCACCUGUGGCGAAGGCGUCUAACUAGAACGAAUCUGACGGUGAGGAACGAAAGCUAGGGGCGCGAACCGGAUUAGAUACCCGGGUAGUCCUAGCCGUAAACUAUGCGGACUUGGUGUGAGGGUGGCUUUGAGCCGUCCUGGUGCCGAAGGGAAGCUGUUAAGUCCGCCGCCUGGGAAGUACGGUCGCAAGACUGAAACUUAAAGGAAUUGGCGGGGGAGCAAAUCCCGCGGCCA
rnacentral:rRNA from 1 species